rnacentral:rRNA from 1 species
AACGAACGCUGGCGGCAUGCCUAACACAUGCAAGUCGAACGAGAUCCUUCGGGGUCUAGUGGCGCACGGGUGCGUAACGCGUGGGAAUCUGCCCUUAGGUUCGGAAUAACAGUUAGAAAUGACUGCUAAUACCGGAUGAUGACGUUAAGUCCAAAGAUUUAUCGCCUGAGGAUGAGCCCGCGUAGGAUUAGCUAGUUGGUGUGGUAAAGGCGCACCAAGGCGACGAUCCUUAGCUGGUCUGAGAGGAUGAUCAGCCACACUGGGACGGAGACACGGCCCAGACUCCUACGGGAGGGGGCAGUGGGGAAUAUUGGAAAGUCGGGGCAAGCCUGAUCCACCAAUGCCGCGUGAGUGAUGAAGGCCUGAGGGUUGUAAAGCGCUUUUACCCGAGAUGAUAAUGACAGUACCGGGAGAAUAAGCCCCGGCUAACUCCGUG